rnacentral:rRNA from 1 species
GACGAACGCUGGCGGCGUGCCUAAUACAUGCAAGUAGAACGCAGUUGCGAACGGGUGAGUAACGCGUAGGUCACUGCCUGGUAGCGGGGGAUAACUAUUGGAAACGAUAGCUAAUACCGCAUACUACCAGAUGGACCUGCGUUGUAUGAGCUAGUUGGUGAGGUCACUGCCCACCAAGGCAACGAUUCAUAGCCGACCUGAGGGGGUGAGAGGCCACCCUGGGACUUGUAAACGGCCCGCACUCCUACGGGAGGCAACAGUAGGGAAGCUUCGCCAAUGGGGGAAACACUGACCGAGCAACGCCGCGUUAGUGAAGAAGGUUUUCGGAUCGUAAAGCUCUGUUGUGUAGGAAGCGGUACUUAACCAGAAAGGGACGGCUAACUACGUGCCAGCAGCCGCGGUAAUUC